CGGCAACUACGUACACAAGAAAGAAAAGUCAGCUAGAUCAAUAAAGUUCAAUACUGAAACAAUCUCUACCAAUUCAAAUUCAUCCACGAAUUAAAAAAAAGAAUCCGUAAAACCCCGUUUCUGUGAUUAAUCGUCUGUGUCUCAAUCGGCUGUAAUGUUGGAGUUGUUCUUCACAGUGGCGUUUUCUGCAGUCCCGUUGAUUCUUUACAUCCCUCCAGUCAGGAGCUUGAGUCUAUUUGUGGAGACAAUGGAGGAUAUGUGGAGACAGUCAAGUGCUUAUACUGGCAGGAUUUAUCCUCGUCUGAGAUUUGCUUGUGGUAGGAUUUUGAAUUUUAUGCUUAAUAAUACCACAAGAUAAAUUAGUUUAAUUCUUUCAAUUUGAAUCCAGAGCUUGAAUUGAACCAUCUCGGAUAGAUUCAAAACAUUAUUUGUAUGUAUAUUCUCGGAUUUUUUUCCUCUUCUGUUUCAAGUGUUUUGGGAUUGAUUUACAAUAGGAUUUAGCCGUUCGAUUUGCUACUGCUGUUGUUCUUGUGAAAUUUGUAUUUCAGAUAAUCAAUAAACGAAAAUUUUAUGGUGUUGGUAGAAUUAUCGUCUUAGAUAUGUUCUGUUCGAUUAUGAAAAUAAUAGCUUAGGGCUAGGGAUACACCUCUUAAUACCUCUUAAGAUGGAAUCCAAAAUCCAAUAGUGGGUCUGAGUGCGUGGCGGCAAUGGUCUCUAAUAUUUAGCAAUAGGAAAUUUUUGGAGUAUUGAGGUUAGGGAAAGGACAAUUUACUAUCCUUAAAUGUUUCGCGG
rnacentral:lncRNA from 1 species